rnacentral:rRNA from 1 species
CGAAAACGAAUUCUCUCUUGAGUGGAUCCUGAGUACGACGGAGCACGUGAAAUUCCGUCGGAAUCUGGGAGGACCAUCUCCUAAGGCUAAAUACUCUCUAGUGACCGAUAGUGAACCAGUACCGUGAGGGAAAGGUGAAAAGUACCCCGGAAGGGGAGUGAAAGAGAACUUGAAACCGUGUGCUUACAAGUAGUCAGAGCCCGUUAAUGGGUGAUGGCGUGCCUUUUGUAGAAUGAACCGGCGAGUUACGAUCUGAUGCAAGGUUAAGCAGAAAAUGUGGAGCCGUAGCGAAAGCGAGUCUGAAUAGGGCGAAUGAGUAUUUGGUC